rnacentral:tRNA from 1 species
GGCGGUGUAGCUCAGAUGGCUAGAGCAUUCGGUUCAUACCCGAAAGGGCGUGGGGUCGACUCCCUCCGCCGCUACCU